GGGGGAGGAAGGGAGCGAGUGCAUCCGUUAGAUUCGUGGCGACCACAUUGAGGAGGAGGGCAGCAGGCAGCGGCGGUGACCGCUGCUGCUACACGCAGGCAUCCAGCAGCGUGUCCCCAGCAGCAGACUCGGUAUCCCCAGUGUGAAGAGCCCAGGCCUGGCCCAUUAGGCUGUGACUGAAAACAGUCCCCCCUCCCCUCUCCAACCAGCCUCCACAGUGACUACCCCAAAUCCCCAAGCAGAUUCCUGGACUGAGAGACACACGGUUCAGAGCAUGACUGUCAAAGGGCUAGGUUUGGUGGGGGGGGGGGGGGGAAUCCCACCCAAUUCUGAAAUCGCCAACGAAAUCGUGUGUGGCAGUGGGUAUUUGUGCAUUUACACAUGACAGUUGCAUGCUUUCGGCCAAGGAAUGACAUUUCAAAAAUAUUUCUUCCCCCCCCCCACCCCAUAGCACCAAAGGCUGUUUUACGUCCUGCUAUUGUGAAUCAACCUUCUGUAAACCAUAUUGUGCAUUUUCCCCUGGAUUUUAAUGAAAGAAGAACUGUGCAAAAGCAACUGCUUUGUCCCAGAGCUGAAACAAAGACUAAUACACAGCAGAGGGGCAGCCCUUCCAAGAUGUACUCCUCUCCGACUUGGGAGCAAGGCUCCUAGAGUGACCGGCCAUAAUUGUGGUUGAUAUUUAAUCCUCCUUAGUACAAAGGCCCAUCUUUUCACCAUGCAGAAGCACCACUGAGAUAUGACUAACCUUCAGAGUUAUAUCCCAAACUGAGAGUCCAGGCUUAGACUUGGAUUGCCUAGGCCUCUUCUAACCCGAACAAAAAGGAUCUGAAGAAAAUCACAUUUUCCCCCCUCCUUCGCAACAAAGCAUUCCUAAUCAC